rnacentral:rRNA from 1 species
UACGAAGGGAGCUAGCGUUGUUCGGAAUCACUGGGCGUAAAGCGCACGUAGGCCGAUUCGUAAGUCAGGGGUGAAAUCCCGGGGCUCAACCUCGGAACUGCCUCUGAUACUGCGAAUCUCGAGUCCGGAAGAGGUGGGUGGAAUUCCUAGUGUAGAAGGUGAAAUUCGUAGAUAUUAGGAAGAACACCGGUGGCGAAGGCGGCCCACUGGUCCGGUACUGACGCUGAGGUGCGAAAGCGUGGGGAGCAAACAGG